UACUUUCAAUCAGGUAUAGGUUUCUUUAACCGGAAUUAAUAAGGAACCGUGUGUAAAUCACGGGCUGACGUGCAACUGUAAGUAACAUUCCCAGUUUUUACCAGCAAUCCAUUGUCUGCAAUAGCAGGCGAGAAGGAAGUAAAAACGUUACAAGCCAGGAGACUUGCCUAUAUCUCAAUGACACA
rnacentral:ncRNA from 2 species